rnacentral:lncRNA from 1 species
CCAAAUGUCUUUAAAGAAAGUCUUGGCUCUACCAUAGUAGUCUUGGCUAAUUUAUGGAACCAAUCAGUUUUUGCUCAUCGCAAUCACAAUAAACAUAGACGAAGCUACUCCAAAGAGUCUGAUGUGCUGCAAGUUUUUAAACAUCCCUGUCUGGAAUCGAAUUUUCCAUAUCAAGAUUUGGAUUACUGCAAAAAUGUAAAACAAGAACAACAUGAGAAAAAUAAAAAGAUGUAAUUCAGAUUAAAGUUUACUGAUAUUACUAACUUGAAAGAGAGUAUAUGUCUGACAAACUUAGCUGAGUAGCAGAGUAGGCAGACGGUACAAUGGUUUAUAGUACGUACCAUCUCAUGUUAUUGAUGUUACGC